UGACCGCCGUUUCUCCAGGCCUCCUCAGUAAUGAGACCAAGAGAGUGGAGACAGGCAUGGUGCUGCUGCUACUUCUCCAGAGAAUCCGCAGGACACCUUUGUUCCAGGCUGCCUUCCUGGGCUGGGCACAGGAAACCUGCCAAGUUCAGACCUACGCUGGGUCCAAGUUGCCCCUGAGCCAGCCUCUUUUUGUUAAGCCAAGUGUGAACAUUCCAAGUUCAUAAGUGUGAACAAAAGAAAAGAGGAACCCAGCAGAUGUAACAGAACCAACUCCAGUUGAAUGUUUAGGUUUUUGCUAAACUUUGUGUUUAUUUUUCCCUUUUUGCUGUGGUUUGCGUUAAUGAGGGUAGUGAGCCCAGUUGUGGGGAAUAAGAGUGCACCGUGUGAUGGAGUCUAAUGAACUGAGAAUGAUCCACCACUACAACUGGUGAUUGUUUUACAAAGAAGGAGUAUUUUUAUUUUUGAGACCAGCCGAAUCUCUGCAAAAUUCCAAAUGGUGGUUUUAUUGUUGGUUUCGUUUACCCCGCCUCCCCCCCGCCCCCCAAAAAGGAAAAACUUAUGGGCUUUGACUUUUCUGCAUCAGGCACAGAAAGGGAUAAAGCUACAGCCAGAGAGAGGGUCCAACAGAGAAUCUGACCAAACCUAGGCACAGAGCAGAGAAGGAUGAUAAAACCAGAGAGGUGUUUUUUCUAUUUUUGUUUUUACUGUAUUUUGGGGGGUGGGAGAAGUAAGCUAGACUGAGGCAGUGGGUUUUUUUUUUUUUUCCUCUUAUAAUGUUUUCCCUUUUAUCCUUGAAAGCUUUGCCCUGCAGCCUGAGUUUUAGAUUCCUUUAGUAACUUGGAUUAGUGGGACCAGAGUGUCAGAAGCUCUGGGUACCUCUUACUUGGAGAGAAGUGAGCCAUCUACUGGCAGCUUUUUCCACAAUGGUGGCAGGAAGCUAUUCCUGGAAGAAGCAGGGAAUAGUGCCCCCAGCUGGCUGAGGAACUGCCUUCCAGAGAAGGCUGGGCUGGAAAUUAGGAAGCCUGGUCACAGUGUCUUUGUGUUGCACCUUUAAAUUGGAGUUGCAGAGGCCCCUGCCCUGAACUUCACAGUGAAACAGAUCACAAUUGGUCUUAUUCUCCCUCCCCAUUUUUUAUUUGCUAUUUCAUUGCUGACAGCAACAUACCCCAUCUUUAUAUAUCCUAAGAAACACUAAUCCUAGGUUAUUAUUAGCUGGAAUAUUUUUGUUCUGAAUAACAUUGUUACUGGGCCAAAAAACAGGUCAGGAACCCCAGCCUAUAGUUUCCUGAACUUGCCAGGUCGGGCACAAGGGGGAGAGUUACUGGGUGUUGGCUGACUUGUGUGGCGUUGGCCUGGAGAAAAGGCAGCAAUGUGUGUUCUGUCCUUCCUGGGAUGAUCUUUGAAGUCUUCAGGAAGACACCCUCAAUUCUGAGUGGCUUGGCCCACCCAUGGCUGUGGGAGUGGGAUUGGUUAUUUAAGGAGAGGGAGCUUUGCUCUGAGUAGGCAGGUUUCCUAGACUCUUGCCUCCAGCCUCCCCCUGUGCCCUCCUUGGAUACCCUAGGGUAGGGGGUUGGUGAUCAGGGAUCCUCACCCUCCUGAGGCCCAGCUAGGGAAGAAUGAACAUGGCAGCUUCAAGAGUAGUUGAAGUUGCUUUUUGCCCAGCCUCUUCCACCCCACCCAUGUCUGUGAGCCCAGGUCUGGUGUGACUGUUGCAAGAUGCUUGUAGCAGAGGACUCUGGAAGUAUAUUGGGCUGGGGUGGGACUUAUUCUUCCCACAGUGCACUGAGCAGUGGAGGUGGUGAGGGGGGCAGGAGCCAUGCUGCUGAAUUCUGGUUGGCAUUCCCCCCUUGUGCAAGAUAGGGAGGCUGUGGGUGGGGCAGCCUCUGCUUGAUUUGGUUGUGAGGUAAACCUGGAGAAGCACAGUUAUCCCGUUGAAUAAUUUGAGCAAAAAACUACUGUAAAUAACUUGUUGUCUUUUGUCAAAUAAAGUUGUUUUGGGUUUUG